GCCGAGAUAGCUCAGCUGGGAGAGCGAUAGACUGAAGUUCUACAGGCCGGGUGUUCGAGCCACCCUCUUGGCA